rnacentral:rRNA from 1 species
UGGGGAAUAUUGCGCAAUGGGGGAAACCCUGACGCAGCAACGCCGCGUGAUUGAAGAAGGCCUUCGGGUUGUAAAGAUCUUUAAUCAGGGACGAAACAAAUGACGGUACCUGAAGAAUAAGCUCCGGCUAACUACGUGCCAGCAGCCGCGGUAAUACGUAGGGAGCAAGCGUUAUCCGGAUUUACUGGGUGUAAAGGGCGCGCAGGCGGGCCGGCAAGUUGGAAGUGAAAUCUAUGGGCUUAACCCAUAAACUGCUUUCAAAACUGUUGGUCUUGAGUGAUGGAGAGGCAGGCGGAAUUCCGUGUGUAGCGGUGAAAUGCGUAGAUAUACGGAGGAACACCAGUGGCGAAGGCGGCCUGCUGGACAUUAACUGACGCUGAGGCGCGAAAGCGUGGGGAGC